rnacentral:rRNA from 1 species
CAGUCGCCGCGGGAAUACGUAGGGUGCAAGCGUUAUCCGGAAUUAUUGGGCGUAAAGAGCUCGUAGGCGGUUUGUCGCGUCUGCUGUGAAAACUGGAGGCUCAACCUCCAGCCUGCAGUGGGUACGGGCAGACUAGAGUGCGGUAGGGGAGAUUGGAAUUCCUGGUGUAGCGGUGGAAUGCGCAGAUAUCAGGAGGAACACCGAUGGCGAAGGCAGAUCUCUGGGCCGUAACUGACGCUGAGGAGCGAAAGCGUGGGGAGCGAACAGGAUUAGAUACCCCUGUAGUCCCUGUCUCUUAUAC